rnacentral:rRNA from 1 species
AGUGAACGCUGGCGGUAGGCCUAACACAUGCAAGUCGAACGGCAGCACAGUAAGAGCUUGCUCUUACGGGUGGCGAGUGGCGGACGGGUGAGGAAUACAUCGGAAUCUACUUUUUCGUGGGGGAUAACGUAGGGAAACUUACGCUAAUACCGCAUACGACCUACGGGUGAAAGCAGGGGAUCUUCGGACCUUGCGCGAUUGAAUGAGCCGAUGUCGGAUUAGCUAGUUGGCGGGGUAAAGGCCCACCAAGGCGACGAUCCGUAGCUGAUCUGAGAGGAUGAUCAGCCACACUGGAACUGAGACACGGUCCAGACUCCUACGGGAGGCAGCAGUGGGGAAUAUUGGACAAUGGGCGCAAGCCUGACCCAGCCAUACCGCGUGGGUGAAGAAGGCCUUCGGGUUGUAAAGCCCUUUUGUUGGGAAAGAAAAGCAGCAGGUUAAUACCCCGCUGUUCUGACGGUACCCAAAGAAUAAGCACCGGCUAACUUCGUG